GACGAACGCUGGCGGCGUUCUUAACACAUGCAAGUCGAACGGAAAGGCCCUGCUUUUGUGGGGUGCUCGAGUGGCGAACGGGUGAGUAACACGUGAGUAACCUGCCCUUGACUUUGGGAUAACUUCAGGAAACUGGGGCUAAUACCGGAUAGGAGCUCCUGCUGCAUGGUGGGGGUUGGAAAGUUUCGGCGGUUGGGGAUGGACUCGCGGCUUAUCAGCUUGUUGGUGGGGUAGUGGCUUACCAAGGCUUUGACGGGUAGCCGGCCUGAGAGGGUGACCGGCCACAUUGGGACUGAGAUACGGCCCAGACUCCUACGGGAGGCAGCAGCGGGGAAUAUUGCACAAUGGGCGGAAGCCUGAUGCAGCAACGCCGCGUGCGGGAUGACGGCCUUCGGGUUGUAAACCGCUUUCGCCUGUGACGAAGCGUGAGUGACGGUAAUGGGUAAAGAAGCACCGGCUAACUACGUG
rnacentral:rRNA from 1 species